CGUGAGUCAACCCAAAUUCAAUGCCACGAGAGAGUUUUGUAUGCAAGUGCUAGUCGCCCCGCAGCGUUACAAGGGCACAAUUUUUUCCGAGGAGGGACCAACACGGCUAUGUUUAUUGACCUGCACUGCGUAAGCAAAUGCUAGUCGCCCCGCAGCGUUACAAGGGCACAAGUUUUUCCGAGAAGGGACGUGCACGGGUUUCUUACUAGCUACGCUAGCCGCCCCACCGUACAUGGGCGGCGUGAGAAAGAGGCAGAAAUUUUGCUUUACCGUGACCAAGACAGUGUUUGGCCAAGACGAGGCAUGAACAAACGUUGAACUGCAUGUUUGGCCUGUGCCUGCCCAAGUCACGAACGGCAAGACGACCCCCUCUUUCCCACGCUGGUGGCUGGGCCUUCCGACGGGACGUGGAAAAUAUGAAUCAAUCCUACUCUUCCAUGACAACGACAAAGUUUGGCCAAGACGAGGCAUGAACAAAUGUUGAACUGCAUGUUUGGCCUGUGCUUGCCCAAAGUCAAGAACAGCAAGAUUUCCCCCUAUUUCCCACCAAAUCUGCCCGAAAUUCAUCAAAAUGAUCCGAAUUUAUCAAAAUCUUUUGAUGAAAGCAGCUCAAAUUGAUGAAUUUGGGGCAGAUUUGGGGGGAGCAGCUUGUUUUUUGGUGGCUGGGGGCUGCCUGGGCGCGCCCCAGACAGUCCCCCAGCCAUGCCCAGCCAUGCCCCAACAAGGUGCUCCCCCUAUAUAUGCUUGAUGUGCCAUUUCCAAUUUUGUAGAAAAAAGGGUGAAUUUUCCCUGCAGGCAUAAAGUCCCGAAAAAGUGACUCAGAGGUUGAAUUUGUCCGCGAUUUUUUUGCAGGCAUGUUAGGGACAUAAAAACAACAUCUCCCACAAAAAAAUUAGAAUUUUCCGACGAGGGACGGAUUAAAUAUGAAUUUUUUACGCGCCAAAAAGUAAAGAAAGCGUGACAUCAAAACAUCGACCUAGAAAUCGAAUUUUGAGCUGAUUUUUUGCAGGCACCUCAAUAAAAAUACAUCUAGAGGAUCUGCAAAGUUGCGUAGAAAACCGACAACGUUUCGAUUUAUUUUGAUUUUUCGACCGAAACGC
rnacentral:lncRNA from 1 species